rnacentral:tRNA from 2 species
GCCUGGGUGGCUCAGUCGGUUGAGCGUCUGACUUCGGCUCAGGUCAUGAUCUCACAGUUUGUGGGUUCGAGCCCCACGUCAGGCU